UGGUAGUGUAUUGGACAACCAUGGCUUUCACGGGUAACGGAGGAUUAGGGUUCGAUUCCGGAGAGGGAGCCUGAGAAACGGCUACCACAUCUAAGGAAGGCAGCAGGCGCGUAAAUUACCCAAUCCUGAUUCAGGGAGGUAGUGACAAGAAAUAACAACUCGGGGGCUUUUGCCUUACGAGAUUGCAAUGAGAACAAUCUAAUAGACAUUAACGAGGAACAAUUGGAGGGCAAGUCUGGUGCCAGCAGCCGCGGUAAUUCCAGCUCCAAUAGCGUAUAUUAAAGUUGUUGCAGUUAAAAAGCUCGUAGUUGAACUUCUGUUAGAGAGCUGAAUGGCUUCGGCCAAUCAUGUUCUCUAGCAUCCGUCAGAAAACCCAGACCGGCCUUAACUGGUCGCCUGGGCGAUCUGACACUUUACUUUGAAAAAAUAAGAGUGUUCAAGGCAGGCUUUCGCUCUGAAUACACAAGCAUGGAAUAAUGGAAUAGGACUGGCGUCCAUUUUGUUGGUUAUUGGACAUCAGUAAUGAUUAAAAGGGACAGUUGGGGGCAUUAGUAUUUAAUUGUCAGAGGUGAAAUUCUUGGAUUUAUUAAAGACUAACUUAUGCGAAAGCAUUUGCCAAGGAUGU
rnacentral:rRNA from 1 species